rnacentral:rRNA from 1 species
AGACUCCGUACGGGAGGCAGCAGUGGGGAAUAUUGCACAAUGGGCGAAAGCCUGAUGCAGCGACGCCGCGUGAGCGAAGAAGUAUUUCGGUAUGUAAAGCUCUAUCAGCAGGGAAGAUAAUGACGGUACCUGACUAAGAAGCACCGGCUAAAAUACGUGC